rnacentral:lncRNA from 1 species
AUGUCGUUCCUGAGUUCAGUGCUCAGAGGUAGUACACAGAGCUGUCACCUGUCUGAAACUGCGACGACAAUUUACAUUGUGAAUAGUGCCGUGAAAGUCAGCGGGAGAAACAAGAUGCCAUUCAGCACAAAAACUGACAAAAUCUGGUCGUUAAGUACCGGUCAGUAUGUUAAACUUCAUCUAUCUCUAAAGGGUGAGGAGGGAAGAGAAAUACCUUUUCCAAUAUGGAGGCAUGUAACAGAAGGCAGGAAACUACACAGAAGCCCCAUGCAAGUGGUGCCUAUUGUUUUCAUGAUCGGAGACUUCUUUCUAAAGCUGCAUGCAGAUCCCUGA